AGAUAUCCUUCUUCAUUUCACUAAGGUUUACAAGCAGUGGAAUUCUCACUUAGGAAAAAUGAAGAAAGAAAAAUAGGUGUUUAAGUUUAAGAUGUUUUCUUUCACUUUA